CUGAUCAUGUGCUGGAGACUCAUCCGUACAUCACACAGACUGCUUUAUUCAAAGCCAUUUCCACUGUGUCCAGAUCUAUAAAUCUGAUCAGUUUUGAUCUGAUCGUCUGUUUUAUGAUCGAUUAGACUGACGAACGAAACUUCGCUUUAUAUAUUUUGCUAAAUGUGAUUUUAUUUAUUAAUCUAUUAUUUAUUUAUAUGUAAAUCAAUUUAUAUGUUAAUCAGUUUGAUCGUGAAGCACAUGAUUAACGCGCUGUUGGGUUUCCCCGGUCGCGCGCUUCCCUCGUGCACACGCACGCACGCCGCGGCGAGUGAGAGACGGACGCGAAGCGCGAGACGCGAAUCAAACCUCGAGAAACUCGAUUAAACUUAAUUAAACUAAAUCUAAAUAAUGACAGUCCCGUGGAUAUAAAAUACAUAAGAUAACUAAACCAGAACUAAGCCUGAACUAAAGAAACGCAGAGAUUUUCUUCACAUCAGCUGCUGAGGAGAGAAACGAGUACAGAAAUUCAGACAUUAGAUCAGAGAUCAGACACCACACAUCUGCAGGGCGAAGUCCUCAAGAGACACCUGUGCGCGUGCGUGUGUGCGUGCGUGCGUGUGUGUGUGUGCGUGUGUGUGUGUGUGUGUGUGUGUGUGUGUGUGUGUGUGUGUGUGUGUGUCAGUCAGUGUUUUCAGGUUUUAAUUCACAGUUUUUUCGGUUUGCUGGAUGAAUUCAUGUGCUUUGAUUUAUUCAGAUGGUUUCUGAUGUUCAUUUCUGUGCAGCUCCAUCAUAAAUGCAUCCAUAGACAGUUCCUCUGGUUUUGUCAUUAAUGUCUCGUCUGGAGUCACGUGUCAGUGACCCUCUGCGGACACCUUGGGAACUGAAUCGCCUUUGGCUAGUAAAUAUUUGAGUUUACUCGCCAGAUAUCAAAAUAUUUGUAAAAUGGCACAGUUUUUUAAAUAUCUGAGAGUACACUAUUAACAUCAGUCAGUCAAGUAUUAUUUAAUAAUAGAACUUAAGUAAUUAGAAGUAAACCUGAUAACCAUGUUUGAAUGCAUAUUAGUCAUUUAACUGAACAUUUUAACUGGAGGUGGUGGUGCUUUUUUUGGUCAUUGUGUUUCUGUAAAAAAAAAAAACGUACUUACUUAGCCUCCAACUCACACACUGGCGAGUAAAAUCUGAGAAUUUAUUACCCAUUGCCUAAUAUGAGACAUCAUUUAGUCGCCAGAAUGAAGGGUUAGUCUCAGUGUAGAGGGUUGACCGUGGAGUGGGUGAGUUUAACCAGGUUACACCAGGAGUCACUUACACACGGGAUCCAGCAGGCGGCGCCAGAGCUCAGAGUCAUUGAGUUACAGUGCUUUGCAAAAGUAUUCAUACCCCUUCUUUUUUUCACGUCUUAUGUCAAACUGCUUUAUAUUACUUUUUUUCCACAUCAAUCUACACACACCAUAAUGGUAAAACAAAAACAAAAAAACAAACCCAGGUUUUUAACCUCUUUAUUAAAAAUAAAAACUUAAAUGCUUCCA
ensembl:lncRNA